rnacentral:rRNA from 1 species
UACGUAGGGGGCAAGCGUUGUCCGGAUUUAUUGGGCGUAAAGAGCGUGUAGGCGGUUUGGUAGGUCCGCUGUGAAAACUGGAGGCUCAACCUCCAGCCUGCAGUGGGUACGGGCAGACUAGAGUGCGGUAGGGGAGAUUGGAAUUCCUGGUGUAGCGGUGGAAUGCGCAGAUAUCAGGAGGAACACCGAUGGCGAAGGCAGAUCUCUGGGCCGUAACUGACGCUGAGGAGCGAAAGCAUGGGGAGCGAACAGG